UUGCGGCAUUAACACGUUGAAAACACCAGUUCCCAUACGAUCACCAAAGUUAAGCAACGUCGAGCCUGGUUAGUACCUAGAUGGGAGGUCGCUGGGGAAUACCGGGCGCUGUAA